AUACUUACCUGGCAGGGGAGAUACCAUGAUGAUGAAGGUGGUUUUCCCAGGGUGAGUCUUAUCCACUGUACUCUGGAUGUGCUGACCCUGUGAUUUCCCCAAAUGUGAGAAACUCGACUGCAUAAUUUAUGGUAGUGGGGGACAAUGUUUGCGCUUUUCCCUG